AGCAGCCGCGGUAAUUCCAGCUCCAAUAGCGUAUAUUAAAGUUGUUGCAGUUAAAAAGCUCGUAGUUGAAUUUCGAGACCGGCUUACUGGUCGUGCUAUUGUACGUACUGGUAUAAUCGGUUUCUCCUUUCUGACGAACUAUAAUGCCAUUAAUUUGGUGUUUUAGGGAAUCAGGACUGUUACUUUGAAAAAAUUAGAGUGUUUAAAGCAGGCUCACGCUUGAAUACAUUAGCAUGGAAUAACGGAAUAGGACGUUUGAUUCUAUUUUGUUGGUUUCUAGGAUCGACGUAGUGAUUAAUAGGGAUAGUUGGGGGCAUUAGUAUUCAAUUGUCAGAGGUGAAAUUCUUGGAUUUAUUGAAGACUAACUACUGCGAAAGCAUUUGCCAAGGAUGUUUUCAUUAAUCAAGAACGAAAGUUAGGGGAUCGAAGACGAUCAGAUACCGUCGUAGUCUUAACCAUAAACUAUGCCGACUAGGGAUCGGAUGAUGUUAAUUUUUAAUGACUCAUUCGGCGCCUUACG
rnacentral:rRNA from 1 species